rnacentral:rRNA from 1 species
GAUGAACGCUGGCGGUCUGCUUAACACAUGCAAGUCGAACGAACUCUUCGGAGUGAGUGGCGGACGGGUGAGUAACGCGUGAGAAUCUGCCUGUGGGUCGGGGACAACCACUGGAAACGGUGGCUCAUACCGGAUGAGCCGAAAGGUAAAAAAUUUAUUGCCCACAGAUGAGCUCGCGUCUGAUUAGCUAGUUGGUAAGGUAAAAGCGUACCAAGGCGACGAUCAGUAGCUGGUCUGAGAGGAUGAGCAGCCACACUGGGACUGAGACACGGCCCAGACUCCUACGGGAGGCAGCAGUGGGGAAUUUUCCGCAAUGGGCGAAAGCCUGACGGAGCAAGACCGCGUGGGGGAGGAAGGUUUUUGGAUCGUAAACCCCUUUUGUCAAGGAAGAAGUUCUGACGGUACUUGACGAAUAAGCCUCGGCUAACUCCGUGCCAGCAGCCGCGGUAAUACNGAGGAGGCAAGCGUUAUCCGGAAUGAUUGGCCGUAAAGCGUCUGUAGGUGGCC